GACGAACGCUGGCGGCGUGCUUAACACAUGCAAGUCGAACGGAAAGGCCCUGCUUUUGUGGGGUGCUCUAGUGGCGAACGGGUGAGUAACACGUGAGUAACCUGCCCUUGACUUUGGGAUAACUUCAGGAAACUGGGGCUAAUACCGGAUAGGAGCUCCUGCUGCAUGGUGGGGGUUGGAAAGUUUCGGCGUUUGGGGAUGUACUCGCGGCUUAUCGGCUUGUUUGUGGGGUAGUGGCUUACCAAGGCUCUGACGGAUAGCCGGCCUGAGAGGGUGACCGGCCACAUUGGGACUGAGAUACGGCCCAGACUCCUACGGGAGGCAGCAGUGGGGAAUAUUGCACAAUGGGCGGAAGCCUGAUGCAGCAACGCCGCGUGCGGAAUGACGGCCUUCGGGUUGUAAACCGCUUUCGCCUGUGACGAAGCGUGAGUGACGGUAAUGGGUAAAGAAGCACCGGCUAACUACGUG
rnacentral:rRNA from 1 species